UCUCCCUCUCUCUCUCUUUUCCCCGACCUCUCUCAUUCUCUCUUCCCUCUGCAACCACCGGGAAAUGCCAUUCCCGGCCGCCACUGUUCCUCCUUCCCCUUCGAAUUCCGGCUACCAUCUCACUACACCGGCAACAUCUCUACACCGACCAUAUCCGAGCUGCACGAACACCAUAGAUGGAAUCUGUGUUUUGGAGGACUCGAAUCUGCAGGUUUGAAAUGUGGAGAAGAAGGAGAUUGCUGGGUCGAUUUCUAUUAGAAUCAAAUUGGGUAAGGGUUGUGGCAAAUUCUGUUUUUUCGUGGUGUUGAAUUUUGUUGGUUUCAGGAGCGUGGAGCUGGAAUCGGGUUGGACCAUGCUGCUGAGUGGGAAUGAGAGGCUGCCUGGUGCUGUUGUGCCUGCUAGGGAGAGGCUACUUGAGAGGUUGAGAGGAAUGUCUCAUUCGGAAACCAGUUAUAUGAAUAUGAACCAAGUAAGAUGAGUGGAUUUGCUGGAUAUCUGCGGCAACUGUCCUGCAGUAUAGCCUUCUUUGGAGAUGUUGAAGCUUCGGGACGCAGGGAUCUACACCUGGCAACUUCACCAAGAAGAACUUGACUGGAAAUAGAUGUUUAUCUGAGGCCAAAGUCAAUAAGAUUUGUAAAGCUGCUGAGCAGAUAGUGGUAUGUUCAUACUUUACAAUAGGACAAUAUUGCAACAGAUUCAAGUGCACACCAUGAUGAAGAUGGUAUUGAUGAAGAUGGUGCUGAAGAUGUUGCUGAUGAAGAUGAUGCAAACUCUAAUGAGGACUUCUAUUAGAUAUAUUGUUAGCUUCCUUGCUUUAGAAUGAUUGUGUUAUAAAGACCAAAUUUUGAAUAUUUAUCUUUUUCUGAACAUGUAUGAAUG